rnacentral:ribozyme from 16 species
GAAGAAACAAAUAAAAAUGGAAUGUACAUUGAACGCAGUGUAGUCUUUGAAUUCAGCAAGCAAACCAAUGGUUUUCCCUUUUGUCUUCUUAUUCUUUUUUCCUUUUCCUUUUUCUC